GACGUCGAAUAUCGACGUCAUAAACACCUAAGUUGAUUGUGUUUAUGACGUCGAAUAUCGACGUCAUAAACACCAAAGUUGAUCGUGUUUAUGACGUCGAAUAUCGACGUCAUAAACACCAAUUUUGAUCGUGUUUAUGACGUCGAAUAUCGACGUCAUAAACACCAAAGUUGAUCGUGUCUAUCACGUCGAAUAUCGACGUCAUAAACACCUAAGUUGAUCGUGUUUAUGACGUCGAAUAUCGGCGUC
rnacentral:miRNA from 1 species